GCUACACAUGCAGUCGACGAGAAGGGAGUGCUUGCAUUCCCGAGUAGAGUGGCGCACCGGUGAGUAACACGUGGAUAAUCUACCUUUGAAUCCGGGAUAACUGUUCGAAAGAAUCGCUAAUACCGAAUGAAGUCUAUGUUUCCUAGGAGAUAUUGAUGAAAGACAGCCUCUUCUUGAAAGCUGUUGUUUGAGGAUGAGUCCGCGCACCAUUAGCUUGUUGGUGGGGUAAAGGCCUACCAAGGCUCUGAUGGUUAGCUGGUCUGAGAGGAUGAUCAGCCACACUGGAACUGACACACGGUCCAGACUCCUACGGGAGGCAGCAGUGAGGAAUUUUGCGCAAUGGGGGCAACACUGACGCAGCAACGCCGCGUGAGUGAAGAAGGCCCCUUGGGUCGUAAAACUCUGUCAAAUGGGGGAG
rnacentral:rRNA from 1 species